rnacentral:rRNA from 1 species
GACGAACGCUGGCGGCGUGCUUAACACAUGCAAGUCGAACGGAAAGGCCCUGCUUUUGUGGGGUGCUCGAGUGGCGAACGGGUGAGUAACACGUGAGUAACCUGCCCUUGACUUUGGGAUAACUUCAGGAAACUGGGGCUAAUACCGGAUAGGAGCUCCUGCGGCAGGGUGGGGGUUGGAAAGUUUCGGCGGUUGGGGAUGGACUCGCGGCUUAUCAGCUUGUUGGUGGGGUAGUGGCUUACCAAGGCUUUGACGGGUAGCCGGCCUGAGAGGGUGACCGGCCACAUUGGGACUGAGAUACGGCCCAGACUCCUACGGGAGGCAGCAGUGGGGAAUAUUGCACAAUGGGCGGAAGCCUUAUGCAGCAACGCCGCGUGCGGGAUGACGGCCUUCGGGUUGUAAACCGCUUUCGCCUGUGACGAAGCGUGAGUGACGGUAAUGGGUAAAGAAGCACCGGCUAACUACGUG